UACACAUUAAGUCUACUGUGUGCCCAGGCC
rnacentral:piRNA from 1 species